GACGAACGCUGGCGGCGUGCUUAACACAUGCAAGUCGAACGGAAAGGCCCUGCUUGCAGGGUACUCGAGUGGCGAACGGGUGAGUAACACGUGGGUGAUCUGCCCUGCACUUCGGGAUAAGCUUGGGAAACUGGGUCUAAUACCGGAUAGGAGCCAUCUUUAGUGUGGUGGUUGGAAAGUUUUUUCGGUGUAGGAUGAGCUCGCGGCCUAUCAGCUUGUUGGUGGGGUAAUGGCCUACCAAGGCGGCGACGGGUAGCCGGCCUGAGAGGGUGUACGGCCACAUUGGGACUGAGAGACGGCCCAGACUCCUACGGGAGGCAGCAGUGGGGAAGAUUGCACAAUGGGCGCAAGCCUGAUGCAGCGACGCCGCGUGGGGGAUGAAGGCCUUCGGGUUGUAAACUCCUGUCGCUAGGGACGAAGCUUUUUUGUGACGGUACCUAGAUAAGAAGCACCGGCUAACUACGUG
rnacentral:rRNA from 1 species